rnacentral:misc_RNA from 1 species
AAAACAGAAAUUAUAUCAGUUCUUAACGCCAAAUCAAAACAGAUAAAAACAAGUGCAGAAUGUUGUCUCAUCGCAGUACUCAUUGUUCAUAGUUAGCAAGUGCUUGUCUCACCCAUUAAAUCCCAUUUCAAGCAUAGCAUGGCAUUAAGCCUUAUACAGAACCUGCGAAAAUAAUCCAAUUUCAAAAACUUCAUCCCUUC